rnacentral:rRNA from 1 species
AAAUUGAAGAGUUUGAUCAUGGCUCAGAUUGAACGCUGGCGGCAGGCCUAACACAUGCAAGUCGAACGGUAACAGGAAACAGCUUGCUGUUUCGCUGACGAGUGGCGGACGGGUGAGUAAUGUCUGGGAAACUGCCUGAUGGAGGGGGAUAACUACUGGAAACGGUAGCUAAUACCGCAUAAUGUCGCAAGACCAAAGAGGGGGACCUUCGGGCCUCUUGCCAUCGGAUGUGCCCAGAUGGGAUUAGCUAGUAGGUGGGGUAACGGCUCACCUAGGCGACGAUCCCUAGCUGGUCUGAGAGGAUGACCAGCCACACUGGAACUGAGACACGGUCCAGACUCCUACGGGAGGCAGCAGUGGGGAAUAUUGCACAAUGGGCGCAAGCCUGAUGCAGCCAUGCCGCGUGUAUGAAGAAGGCCUU